GCUUGUCUCAAAGAUUAAGCCAUGCAUGUCUAAGUAUAAAUAAUUUUUUACUGUGAAACUGCGAAUGGCUCAUUAUAUCAGUUAUAGUCUACUCGACAGUACCUUACUACUUGGAUAACCGUAGUAAUUCUAGAGCUAAUACAUGCAUCAACUCCCAACUGCUUGUCGGACGGGAUGUAUUUAUUAGAUUGAAACCAAUGCGGGGCAACCCGGAAUAUGGUGAAUCAUAAUAACUGUCGUAUCGAGCAAUCGAAGCGCCAUACAAGUUUCUGCCCUAUCAGCUUUGGAUGGUAGGGUAUUGGCCUACCAUGGCUUUAACGGGUAACGGAGAAUUAGGGUUCGAUUCCGGAGAGGGAGCCUGAGAAACGGCUACCACAUCCAAGGAAGGCAGCAGG
rnacentral:rRNA from 1 species